AGAGUUUGAUUCUGGCUCAGAACGAACGCUGGCGGCGUGGAUAAGACAUGCAAGUCGAACGGGACAUUAUUAAUAGCAAUAUUGAUGAUGUUCAGUGGCGUAAGGGUGCGUAACACGUGAAUCAUCUGCCGAGAAGUGGGGCAUAGCUCGCCGAAAGGCGAAUUAAUACCGCAUAUUGUAGCAAUACCAAAGCCGGGGCAACCUGGCGCUUCUUGAUGAGUUCGCGGCCUAUCAGCUAGUUGGCGGGGUAACGGCCCACCAAGGCUAUGACGGGUAGCUGGUCUGAGAGGACGACCAGCCACACUGGAACUGAGACACGGUCCAGACACCUACGGGUGGCAGCAGUCGAGAAUUUUUCUCAAUGGGGGAAACCCUGAAGGAGCGACGCCGCGUGGAGGAUGAAGGUCUUCGGAUUGUAAACUCCUGUCAUUAGUGAACAAAGUUCGCGCUUUACUGGUUGCGAAUUUGCUAGUAACUGAAGAGGAAGAGGCGGCAAACUCUGUGCCAGCAGCCGCGGUAAUACAGAGGCCUCAAGCGUUGUUCGGAUUUAUUGGGCGUAAAGGGUGCGUAGGCGGUACCGAAAGUUAGGUGUGAAAGUUCGAGGCUCAACCUCGAAAUUGCACCUAAUACUCCGGUGCUUGAGUCUCAUAGAGGAAUCUGGAAUUCACGGUGUAGCAGUGAAAUGCGUAGAUAUCGUGAAGAAGGCCUGUGGCGAAAGCAAGAUUCUGGGUGACGACUGACGCUGAGGCACGAAAGCCAGGGGAGCAAACGGGAUUAGAUACCCCGGUAGUCCUGGCAGUAAACGGUGCUCGUUUGGUGUGGGCAGCUCGACACUGUCCGCGCCGAAGCUAACGCAUUAAACGAGCCGCCUGGGUAGUACGAUCGCAAGAUUAAAACUCAAAGAAAUUGACGGGGGCCCGCACAAGCGGUGGAGUAUGUGGCUUAAUUCGAUACUACGCGAAGAACCUUACCUAGGCUUGCCAUGCAACUGAAUACAUUGUUACCUGACCUAGUCAGGCUCUCUAUCAAAACUGCCUCGCAAAACGGGGAGGAAGUCGGGGAUGACGUCAAGUCAGCAUGGCCCUUACGCCUAGGGCUGCACACGUACUACAAUGCUCAGUACAAUUUGAGCCGGUCCUGCAAAGGCUCGGAAAUCAUUAAAACUGAACUCAGUUCGGAUUGCGGGCUGCAACUCGCCCGCAUGAAGCUGGAAUCGCUAGUAAUGCCGUAUCAGCUACGACGGCGUGAAUACGUUCCCGGGCCUUGUACACACCGCCCGUCACAUCAUGGAAAUCGGUAGCUCCCGAAGCGUGGAUAUGAUUCUUCACCUCCGCGUUAAGGAACUGCCGGUAACUGGGAUGAAGUCGGAACAAGGUAGCCG
rnacentral:rRNA from 1 species